rnacentral:tRNA from 1 species
GCGCAGGUGGUAGAGCGGUCAAUUACACCAGACUGUAAAUCUGGCGCCUUACGGCUACGCAGGUUCGAAUCCUGCCCUGCGCA